rnacentral:tRNA from 1 species
GAAGGAUAGAGCAUGUCGUAUUGCGGUUGGCUUGAAACCAAAUGGUGGGGGUUCAAUUCCCCCUGUCCUUG